rnacentral:siRNA from 1 species
UAUAACUAGGUGAGUGCCCGCGC